rnacentral:rRNA from 1 species
AGCGUUAAUCGGAAUCACUGGGCUUAAAGCGUGCGUAGGCGGCUCUGCAAGUAUCUUGUGAAAGCCCACGGCUCAACCGUGGAAUUGCUCGGUAGACUGCAGAGCUUGAGCCCGACAGAGGUCGUCGGAACUCUAGGUGGAGCGGUGAAAUGCGUAGAUAUCUAGGGGAACGCCAAAGGUGAAGACAGGCGACUGGGUCGGAGCUGACGCUGAGGCACGAAAGCGUGGGUAGCGAACGGGAUUAGAUACCCCGGUAGUCCACGCCGUAAACGAUGUGUGCUAGCCGUUGGGGCACUUAGUGUCUCGGUGGCGCAGCUAACGCGUUAAGCACACCGCCUGGGGAGUACGGCCGCAAGGUUAAAACUCAAAGAAAUUGACGGGGGCCCGCACAAGCGGUGGAGCAUGU